rnacentral:tRNA from 1 species
GCGGGUGUGGCUCAACGUUUGAGAAGAAGUCUUUCAAGCUACGGCAAGGGUUCGUUUCCCUUCACCCGCUCCA